CCUACGGGAGGCAGCAGUGGGGAAUAUUGCACAAUGGGGGAAACCCUGAUGGAGCGACGCCGCGUGAGUGAAGAAGUAUUUCGUUACGUAAAGCUCUAUCAGCAGGGAAGAAAAUGACGGUACCUAAGUAAGCAUCCCCGGCUAACUACGUGCCAGCAGCCGCGGUAAUACUUCGGGGGCAAGCGUUCUCCGGAUUUACUGGGUGUAACGGGAGCGUAGAUGGUUCGCCAAGUCUGGAGUGAAAUGCCGCAGCGUAACUGAGGAACGGCUUUGGAAACUGGCGGACUAGAGUGCGGGAGGGGUAAGCGGAAUUCCUAGUGUAGCGGUGAAAUGCGUAGAUAUUAGGAGGAACACCGGUGGCGAAGGCGGCUUACUGGACCGUAACUGACGUUGAGGCUCGAAAGCGUGGGGAGCAAACAGGAUUAGAUACCCGAGUAGUC
rnacentral:rRNA from 1 species